GUCCACGCCGUAAACGAUGUCGACUUGGAGGUUGUGCCCUUGAGGCGUGGCUUCCGGAGCUAACGCGUUAAGUCGACCGCCUGGGGAGUACGGCCGCAAGGUUAAAACUCAAAUGAAUUGACGGGGGCCCGCACAAGCGGUGGAGCAUGUGGUUUAAUUCGAUGCAACGCGAAGAACCUUACCUGGUCUUGACAUCCACGGAAGUUUUCAGAGAUGAGAAUGUGCCUUCGGGAACCGUGAGACAGGUGCUGCAUGGCUGUCGUCAGCUCGUGUUGUGAAAUGUUGGGUUAAGUCCCGCAACGAGCGCAACCCUUAUCCUUUGUUGCCAGCGGUCCGGCCGGGAACUCAAAGGAGACUGCCAGUGAUAAACUGGAGGAAGGUGGGGAUGACGUCAAGUCAUCAUGGCCCUUACGACCAGGGCUACACACGUGCUACAAUGGCGCAUACAAAGAGAAGCGACCUCGCGAGAGCAAGCGGACCUCAUAAAGUGCGUCGUAGUCCGGAUUGGAGUCUGCAACUCGACUCCAUGAAGUCGGAAUCGCUAGUAAUCGUGGAUCAGAAUGCCACGGUGAAUACGUUCCCGGGCCUUGUACACACCGCCCGUCACACCAUGGGAGUGGGUUGCAAAAGAAGUAGGUAGCUUAACCUUCGGGAGGGCGCUUACCACUUUGUGAUUCAUGACUGGGGUGAAGUCGUAACAAGGUAACCGUAGGGGAACCUGCGGUUGGAUCACCUCCUUA
rnacentral:rRNA from 1 species